GGGCCCCGCACAAGCAGCGGAGCGUGUGGUUUAAUUCGAUGCUACACGAAGAACCUUUACCAGGGUUUGACAUGCUAGUGGUAGGAAACCGAAAGGUGACCGACCCUUCGGGGAGCUAGCACAGGUGCUGCAUGGCUGUCGUCAGCUCGUGUCGUGAGAUGUUCGGUUAAGUCCGCUAACGAGCGCAACCCUCGCUGUGUGUUAUAUGUGUCACAUGGGACUGCCGGCCUUAAGCCGGAGGAAGGUGGGGAUGAUGUCAAGUCAGCAUGGCCUUUAUGUCCUGGGCUACACACACGCUACAAUGGUCAGCACAAUGGGUCGCUAAGCCGCAAGGUGGAGCCAAUCCUCAAAGUUGGCCUCAGUUCAGAUUGUAGGCUGCAACUCGCCUGCAUGAAGAUGGAGUUGCUAGUAAACGCAGGUCAGCUAUACUGCGUUGAAUACGUUCCCGGGGCUU
rnacentral:rRNA from 1 species